rnacentral:lncRNA from 1 species
CAACAGUCACCAAAUGUCACUAAAUAAUGGUGACUGUUGCCACAUUUUUUUUUUGUUUUUUGUUUUUGGUAGUGAUUGGACAUGGAACUGUGGAAGAGCUUUCCUCAUUAACUGUACCUUUGGAGGCGGACAAAUAUUUUUUUGGAUUAAUCUAUAUGUUUGCACAUUUUCAAUUUCUUGUGAGACUAGCACCUGAUGCAAUGCAGUCUUCUAGACUUAAUUACCUUGUAGACGAUAGAAAAAAGAGAAAAAAAAUAACUUGAAGGAUGUAUACAAUAGUAAAAUGAUCAAAGGAAAGUUUGAAAAAAUGAUCAAAGGAAAGUUUGAAAAAAUGAAAUCUUGAGUGGACUUGACUUGUAAAAGUCAUCAAAUCAAUAUUGGCAUUAAAUACCGCCCUGAAGAAGGUAAAAAAU